CCUACGGGAGGCAGCAGUCGAGAAUCAUUCACAAUGGGGGAAACCCUGAUGGUGCGACGCCGCGUGGGGGAAUGAAGGUCUUCGGAUUGUAAACCCCUGUCAUGUGGGAGCAAAUUAAAAAGAUCGUACCACAAGAGGAAGAGACUGCUAACUCUGUGCCAGCAGCCGCGGUAAUACAGAGGUCUCAAGCGUUGUUCGGAAUCACUGGGCGUAAGGCGUGCGUAGGCUGUUUCGUAAGUCGUGUGUGAAAGGCGCGGGCUCAACCCGCGGACGGCACAUGAUACUGCGAGACUAGAGUAAUGGAGGGGGAACCGGAAUUCUCGGUGUAGCAGUGAAAUGCGUAGAUAUCGAGAGGAACACUCGUGGCGAAGGCGGGUUCCUGGACAGUAACUGACGCUGAGGCACGAAGGCCAGGGGAGCGAAAGGGAUUAGAUACCCCUGUAGUC
rnacentral:rRNA from 1 species